GGGGAAGGGGGGACAAACACUCACCUCGGGCAGAGCUCGGACGACGAGGAGAACAAUGACGACGCUCGGCGUGUCGCAGCAUGGUGGAUGGCGACAAAAGCUCCUUCGGCAAGACGACGACGAGUGCAGGAGUGCAGGGACGAGGUAGGCCAGCGGAGCUCGUGUGGAGAGGGCGGGCGCGGCUCGGCGAGGAAGUUAAGACUGCCAUUGCCAUGAGCAGCUAAGAGAUCGCAGGGAGGGAGAGGGGUUCGCCUGCCGCCUGCGGACGACCAGUAACCGAAGGGGCUCGCACGAUCUGGCUCAGGAGGAAAUGACAGAUCUGGCUCAGGAGGAAAUGACGAGGGGUUAUGCAACCAUACAGUGUGUAUACAUAUAAAAGGGAGGAUGUGGAAGGCCGUUGCCAAAAUCGUCACGGAUCGUGCCGUGACCGAGCGAGAGAGGUGGUUGCGUGUACGAUAAUGUACGACAAUGUACGACGAAGCGAGACGAGGUUGAUGAGGGAUUGAGGGUAAACAAAGGUAGCUGUUGAGGGGUAGACACCGUAGGUAGAUGAGGAUAGAUGGGGUAGACGUGAACAUCACAACUUUUGCGAGGAGAAGAGGAUGUUUGACGUUCUCACGAAAAGGUCACGAGAUCUAGAACGCGUUCAACGAGAGGGAGAUGUAUAUAUAUAUAUAUAUAUGUAUUAUUGAGUUUCUAGAAUUUUAUAGUUUUUUCGCAAAUGCUAAAUUUUAAGUAUUUAAUUAAUAUUAGAAAAAAAACUAAAAUUCAUAUUUAAUACCCGAAGAAUUGUUCUGAAGAUUUCAACACUCUUGAGAAAAUCCUUGAGAUAUUUUUAACCUGUUACGAUAACAUUUUGCACUCAUAAACACUAUGCAAUGGCAUGAAUGCAACAAUCGAGGCUUCUCUAGGAUUUUAUUUUACUAUGCUAAAAACUUAUAUAUAUAAUAAAAUAACUCUCCAUUAUUUAGAAGAAGAAAAACAGGUAAAGGAGAGGGUAACACUUGAAUUUGGUGGAUAUUUGAAAAGAAAUUUUAUACCCCCAGAUUCAGGGUGUUACAGAUCUAACCCCCUUAACAGGAAUCUCGCCCUCGAGAUUCAAGAAGAGGCUAGCAAGAGAACAAGAGUGGUUCAUUGGUUGUCCAUGGUUUUUUUCUUGAGCUGACCUCUCUACAAGAUUAACUUGUGGACUGGUUGUUUUGACCUUCAGAUGUUCACGACGCACUGAUGCAAUUCUUGAGGAUCUCCUGGACCUAUGAGUUAGGACCCACACAUGCUUUCGCUGCGCCACUCUGAUCUUGUUGGUUGAUGUUGAUCACAUUGACUUCAUCAGGGUUAGCGGCUAACCCCCUUAACAGGCGCAUUGAUAUGUACUUGAUGAAGAUUUUACCGACUCUGAUCUUGACUGAUUAAGAGAGGUUGCAGGAUGCCAACCGGACAAGUGCAAAAGGGAAGAGUAUAGAUAGAAAAGGUAAGAUAGAAAAGGUAAGCAUAGAUGGCUUAAAGAGAGAGAAGGGAGAGCACCUAGCUACUUAACUCUACGGCACUCCGCUAGUAAACUGAUGUCAUUGCGGACCAAGGGCCACAACACAUCAACACUCAUCACAAAGAGGCAAAUCAGUCAUCACACAAAAACAAAUAGCAUAAGCAUACAACAACAAACAUUCCGUUGCUACACGUUCCUUCUAAUUAAAUGGUGGUCUUUCUUGAAAAGGGAAUAACUACUCUCUAAAGUUGUUGAAGGACAAGGAGAAGAACAAGACGUGCAGAACAGGGACACGAGCACCAUAAAGAAUGGAGUUAAAGCAAGCAUUGUAAGCGAUCAACAAAAAGAUACGACCAAUGGCAUAAUGGGUAGAACAACACUCUCAGGUUGAGAUAGAAAAGGGGAGAUUUCCAAAAGCAGACCUUAGAUAGGUAUCAAGUCAAGAUCUAGUGAUUACAAGGGUAAGGGGUAUAUCAAACAAACGCUAUGACUGGCAACGCGGUAAAGGAAAAGGGAAUGACCAAGAGCGGGUAGGUAAGACAACACUCUUGAACUGGAACGAGGGAGGGGCUUUAAAAUGCAGGGACGGGAUAAGCAUCAAGGUAAAGAUCAAGGGAUGACAAGGGUUAAGGUGAUAACGAACAAACACCCAACCAAAAAUUGAUUUUAGACUAACACUUGCAAGGUGUCAAGAAGGGGGAGCAGUCAAUGAUGAAUAGGUGAGGCAUUAUCCUCAAACACGGAUGGAAAAGAGGAGGCUUCAAAGGAUAUGUUCGAGAUAAGUAGGAGGGUAAGGACAUAGAUAUCACGAGGGUUUUAAAGGUAAUAAUGGACAAAGAUGUAGGAUAGGAGGUAAAUAAGCAUAAGACAAAAUAUAUUAGUACCAUAAAGGAUGGAGUUAAGAUAGGCCCUGCAAAUAAAAAAAUGAGACGACACGUCCAAGGGCUAUAUAGGUAAACUGUCACUCAAAUUGAGGUGAAAGAGAGGAGAUUUUAUUUUAAGAGCAAGAGUAAAGAUAAGUGUCAAGGCAAGACCGAUGUAUGACAAGGUAAUGGUGAUAGCAAAGAAAACACACAACAAUGGAUGGAGUUAAAAACUCGCAAGCGACAAGGAAGUGGAUAUGACCAAUGAAAAUACGUAAAAUAAAACUAUAAAAUUGAGAUGGAAGAGAGAAGGUUUUAAAGGACAGGUAUAACAUAAGCAUCAAGGUAAGAUAUAGAAGUGACAAGGGUAAAGAUGAUAAUCGUGAAAAGCAUAACCAAGGAUAGAGUUAAGGCAAGACUCGCAAAGUGGCGAAGUGGAGAAAAUAAUCAAGGGUAAGAUAUGUAUGGUUCCAAUGGAAGGGUUGAAGUAAAAAUCCUUUACUGAGGAAAGUUACAAGAAAUUAACAAGAUCACCAAGGAUGUGCAAAAUAAAAAUGACCGCUCAUAAACCGUUAAGGAACAGGGGUGGUCAAGGUCAUGUAAGCUGAAAUGUUUUGAACAGUCAUUGAGGUAUGAAGAUAAGCAUAAAAAAGAUGAGAGUAUGCAAGAUUUCAAGAAGAUGAGCAUACAAAUACCAAGAGCCAAGAAAUUGCUGAAAGACAACGUCUUAACAAUAGAAGAGGAAAGGGUCUCAAAAGACAGGAAGAUCAUGGACAUACAAAACUGAAAUGUCUAAGUAGUCAGUAGAAAUUUAGAGGCAAGUAUUCGAAACAAGAGUAUUAAAGGGGUACAAGCAUGUCAGUGCCAAAGGACUAGAGUUCGCCAGAUGGUAACUUUAAUGACGAAAGAGGAAAGAAUUCCAAAAAGACAAGAAGGUUAUGGUCAGGGGGCAUCUACAAAGAUAUCGCAAGCACAAAAGUAAGUUAGAUCUAAUAGAUUGAGAAGAGUAUAGACCAUACUAGAAUAAAAUACUUUUUGGAAAGGGGACAUAUAGGAGCACAACAUAAAAUUAGUCGAGGUGACUAAUAUUUUGAAGCAGAAUCAAGGAUGAGGUGAAGUAAUAGUCAAUAAGUCCUUAAAACGGCCAAUGCUACUCUAGGUCAGCGGUCCUACAGUCAGCACAGCUUUGAUACCACUUAUGUCACACCCGGUUUCAGAAGGCAAACCAAAUGCGAACUAUGUACGUGCCAGGAUCAGAAUUCACGUACACAGCGAUUACAUAAAUGAACAUCAUCGCACAGUGCUCGAAUAAUAACAUAAAAGAGUAUUAACUUAUUACAUCACAGAGUCAUAGACAUCCACAUAGUCAUCAACUUAACAGUUAAAUCAAAGUGCUAGCGAAACGCAGUAAAGAUAAGGCCUUCACAAGCAGCUGACUGGGGGUUGCCGCCAACCCACACCUAAAACUCGUCGUAGUCUUGGAACUCCUGGAAGUCUCCUUCCACGACUUCGUCUUCUCCUGAGCAGUGGUUGCAAUGUGGACAACCUGGUGUUUUGUGGUAAAGCAAGGAUGAGUACACAUCAACGUACUCAGCAAAUGCCCCGUUUGGCUGAAGUGGACUAGCUUUAUGUGGGGUUAGGCUUAAGCAGUUGCUUUUAGUUGGUCAGGUAUUUAUUAUUAGUGAAGCCAGGUUUUAGCAAUAACUAACCCGUGAAUCAUUUCCUCAUCGAGGAACAUCAUUAUCAUCAUCGAACCAAAAUCAUAUAUGGAACCAUUGUAUCUCGAACCAUUUGUAUCUCUAAUCAAAGAGGAUCCCAAGGCUGCUCUUAACCGUGAGCACGGCUGAUAUAUCAGUUUCACUACCCUCUGCAGAGGUCGCACACUUUACCCAUGAGCCGUGAUUCCCUCUCUAGCCCGGGCUUGCAAGACCCUUAUUCACUCCCAAGGUGAAUGGCCAGGGAUUCACUACGAAGCCUUUACAAAGAUUCCCUAGAGGUCAUAGCUGCCCGUUAGGUUUCUCCAGUUUGAUAAACACAGUACCUCUCCCCGCAGGAGGGUGACUAAAAACAAAACGAAAGAACCUCGGCACUCAGCCUCGGCAGAGCAAGCACUGUGCCUGGACCCCAUUGACGGCACGACGGCGAAGCAACUACACUUCUAGUUCCUCUAAUUAAUUAGCUAAGGGCACCCCAUUCCACCCUCAUGGUUGCACUGUUAUCCCGGGUGGUCUCUCAACGAACAGGUCCUUACGGAGAGGUACUCAGGAAACAGCCUGAGCCCCCUAGAGUAUCACAAGAUCAUCAACAUCAUCAGGAUAACAGUAUCAUAAAUAGUCUCAUCAUGUUCAUUGAUUAAGUUAAGGCAAUAGCAGAAUGCUAACCAUAACAGCCCAUAAGGUCAGCAAGGAUAAAGUAAAGUGUAAAGCUAGUCAAUCCUUAGGUUUCAAGUAAGUAAUGCGGGAUGGUAAGUUAUAAGUGGAUAGGACAUAAUGGGUCAGAGGACACUUGCCUUCACCAAGCUGCUGCUCCUCAGGGUCCUCUCCUGCAAUUCCCUCAGACUCCACGAACGGCCCGAUAUCUACGCGAGUGCAAACAUACAUCCAACAUUCUUGAAAUGGUAGAAAACAGUACACCAUACAACAGUAUAGAUCAAAUAAAUAUGCACGCGACAAAGAAUUCGCAUCUACGACUACGCGAGAACGGAACCGAGACGACUGAGGGAUAUCACAUGUAUACUAAGCGAAUAUGAAUUAUAAUAUUUAAUUCGGCUUAAUCAUAUUAACAGACAAUAAUCACAUGCCGAGUAAAAUUACUACUUAGUCCCGAUUAGUGUGUUGUUCGAAUAACCGUUGCUUAAAUAUAUAUUUACUUAGCGCGAGCUAUUCUAGGUGAGAUGAAUCAUUAGCGUGCGUAAAACGCACGACGACACGUGUGAACAACACGCACAACGCGCGCGAACAGCACGCGACGAUGAGCCCAACACGCACGAACAACACGCAGACAACACCUACGACACACGAGAAUUACUAAUAAUCAUCGCGUUUAUACUAAAUAAAUAUUACUUCACAAAACAUUUGAGGUGGCAUUAAUCAUGUUAAUCGGUAUUUUCAAAGCGCCAAUUAAAAUUGUAGGAUAGGCUUAACUAGAUUUCUAUUUUAAUAAUUAUCAACUAACUAAAUAAUUAACGAAAGCAUGUGUCGCGACAAAAUAAUGCUACUAACACGCGGGAUAGAUGAACGGGUUCGGGGGUAGACGGGCGUCGUCUACGGAUAGACGAACGCGAACAGCAAGCCGUCACACGAGAAUCGCCAAAUAGAUGUAAUGUUUAUACUAAACAAGUAUUAAUUCAAAAUCAUCUACGUUAACAUUAUUAACGCGUCGGCAAUGUUAUCCCGAAGCUAACGUAAUUUGAACAGGUCGAAAUUGAUUUAUAACGUGAAAGAUUUCGCUUAUUUAACGAACUAGGAGCUUAUACGUAAUGAACCAUAUGCUUCGUGGACUAGCAAUUAGUUUUUGCAUGACUUAGGAGAAUAGUAAAUUAAUUCUAGAAUAAAAGCAGGAUCUUUUCUUUAAAAGGCAGCUGAGCGAUGUGUCGCAAAUUUAUUGGCUGGAAGGCUGGCCACGUGGAGGGCUACAAAGAGCACAACCACAGCAACUCCUGAGAGGAUCUAGUGUGGAGCGGUUUCUAGAUAUUUUCCUGCAUGCACCAAGGAACGUGGAUGUAUGACAUCAUUGGCAUGCAUGGAGCCCACAAGGUUGUUUCUAAAUAUUGCGUGACGGAUUGCUUUUUCUUCCACCUCUCACGAACAUGCAUGGUUUCUUUUCCACUAAAAUCGAACGGGUGAUUACAGGCGCGGGCGGCUCCAGCUGAGCAGACUCACAAGGAGCCAGGGUGUAGUCGACGGCCACCGAGGCAUGGAACGCAGGUUGGCAGCGGCGCUAGCAACUACCGCGGUAGGGGCAGACUGGCGGCGCACGCAGGGGAGCACGACCGGCCAUGGCUGCGCCGGCUAUGGUGCUACUCGGGACGAGGGCGCCGCCUGCAGACCACUCGGCCACCGAGUCGAGGCUUUGGCAGGGAGCUUGCUGGGAAAGCAGGGGCGCUGCAAUGCCGUGCGCGCGACAGCCAUGGCUUCCUGCGCAGGGGCGCCGCGCUGAGGAAGAAAGAAAGGGGGAAGGGGGGACAAACACUCACCUCGGGCAGAGCUCGGACGGCGAGGAGAACAAUGACGACGCUCGGCGUGUCGCAGCAUGGUGGAUGGCGACAAAAGCUCCUUCGGCAAGACGACGACGAGUGCAGGAGUGCAGGGACGAGGUAGGCCAGCGGAGCUCGUGUGGAGAGGGCGGGCGCGGCUCGGCGAGGAAGUUAAGACUGCCAUUGCCAUGAGUAGCUAAGAGAUCGCAGGGAGGGAGAGGGGUUCGCCUGCCGCCUGCGGACGACCAGUAACCGAAGGGGCUCGCACGAUCUGGCUCAGGAGGAAAUGACAGAUCUGGCUCAGGAGGAAAUGACGAGGGGUUAUGCAACC
rnacentral:lncRNA from 1 species